AACGAACGCUGGCGGCGUGCCUAACACAUGCAAGUCGAACGGGAAAACCCGCAAGGGUGAGUACAGUGGCGCACGGGUGCGUAACACGUGGGUAAUCUGCCCAGAAGCCCGGAAUAACUCCCCGAAAGGGGUGCUAAUGCCGGAUGAGACCACGGGGACUUCGGUUCCUGGGGGAAAAGGUGGCCUCUGUAUACAAGCUAUCACUUCUGGAUGAGCCCGCGGCCCAUCAGCUAGUUGGCGGGGUAAUGGCCCACCAAGGCUACGACGGGUAGCUGGGCUGAGAGGACGAUCAGCACAACUGGAACUGAGACACGGUCCAGACUCCUACGGGAGGCAGCAGUGGGGAAUCUUGCGCAAUGGGCGAAAGCCUGACGCAGCAACGCCGCGUGUGUGAUGAAGGUCUUCGGAUCGUAAAGCACUGUCGGGAGGGACGAAUAAGGGCCGGGUGAACAAUCCGGUUCGACGACGGUACCUCCAGAGGAAGCACCGGCUAACUCUGUGCCAGCCGCCGCCGUAAAAC
rnacentral:rRNA from 1 species